rnacentral:rRNA from 1 species
UACGAAGGGGGCUAGCGUUGCUCGGAAUUACUGGGCGUAAAGCGCACGUAGGCGGCUUUCUAAGUCGGGGGUGAAAUCCUGGAGCUCAACUCCAGAACUGCCUUUGAUACUGAGGAUCUUGAGUUCGGGAGAGGUGAGUGGAACUGCGAGUGUAGAGGUGAAAUUCGUAGAUAUUCGCAAGAACACCAGUGGCGAAGGCGGCUGCCUGGCCCAAUACUGACACUCAGGUGCGACAGCGUGGGGAGCAAACAGG